UGCUUUCAAAAGAACUUACUGUGAAAUUAUCAGUUGAUACAGAAUCAAAUGGGAGUCUUGAGAAACAGCCUGGGGCCUAGGCAGGACCUAGGGAAUCUCCAGGGAGUCAACAAGCAAGAAGUAAUCAUCUCAAAAGGACAUCACCACAGAAUACAUAUUCCUGUGGCAACUGAAUGUACCUGGGUUAGAUGUUGGAAGUGUAAGAAACCAUGGAGGAGAACCAAGUAAGUAAGAUCAGUGGCCCCAGCUGAGACCCUGGACUUCUGAUAGCACUCAGCCAAGAACAUCAGAGCCAACUGGCAACUGACUCACAAUUGACCACAGACAGAUGCGUAAACCAUUUCAAUACAACAGAUCAGCAGAACUGCCAAGAUGACCCACAGCUUAUGAGAAAC
rnacentral:lncRNA from 1 species